UAAAUUCUCCAAUAACUCAAGUCCUCAGCCCCUCAAUAUCCUGAUCCUCAGUAUCUCAGACCCCAAUCCUUUUGCUCUCCGGCUUCUGUCUCCUCAUCUCUCAACCCCAGUUCCAACACCUGACACCCAGCCUCUCAGCUUCCCAAUCUCCUCUUCUAGAUUCUCAGCCUCCAAUCCUUAAAUUCUCCAAUCUCCUAGCCCUCCAGCUCUCAUAUCCUGUCCUGCCUCCAACCUCCGUAGCACACCAACUCCUGUUCUCCCAGCCCCUCCCCUCCCCAUCUGACCUGACAUUCCUACUGUUCCUGGGGUAUACCUGGCUAUCACUGCCCCUUUCCAUCCCACCUGACCAGGCGUCCUGCACCCCUUGUGCCCAGACCUGUACUCAGCUCCUCAUGAAGGAGACUGAGAAGGGGAAUGAUUCUGACUCAACCCUGAUUAAACCCACACCUCCCACCAGCUGUGAUCAUCCUGGAAUCCGAUGCUUCAUCCCAGCCUCACAGAGCCUUAAUUAUGUGCCAAGUUCAUCAGUGUUUGCAGAGCUCAUCACCAUCUGCAGAGCAC
rnacentral:lncRNA from 1 species